rnacentral:rRNA from 1 species
GGGUGCAASCGUUAAUCGRAAUUACUGGGCGKAAAGCGCACGCAGGCGGGAAGGCAAGUCAGAUAUGAAAUCUGGAGGCUCAACCUCCAAACUGCAUUUGAAACUGCUUUUCUUGAGUAUCGGAGAGGUAAUCGGAAUUCCUUUUGUAGCGGUGAAAUGCGUAGAUAUAAGUAAGAACACCAGUGGCGAAGGCGGAUUACUGGACGACWACUGACGGUGAGGCGCGAAAGCGUGGGGAGCAAACAGGNUUAGAUACCCUGGUAGUCCACGCUGUAAACGACCAAUACUAGGUGUGCGGGGACUGACCCCCUGCGUGCCGCAGUUAACACAAUAAGUAUUGCACCUGGGGGGUACGAUCGCAAGGUUG